GAUGAACGCUGGCGGCGUGCUUAAUACAUGCAAGUCGAGCGAACGGACGCGAAGCUUGCUUCUCUGAUGUUAGCGGCGGACGGGUGAGUAACACGUGGAUAACCUACCUAUAAGACUGGGAUAACUUCGGGAAACCGGAGCUAAUACCGGAUAAUAUUUUGAACCACAUGGUUCAAAAGUGAAAGACGGUCUUGCUGUCACUUAUAGAUGGUUCCGCGCUGCAUUAGCUAGUUGGUAAGGUAACGGCUUACCAAGGCAACGAUGCAUAGCCGACCUGAGAGGGUGAUCGGCCACACUGGAACGGAGACACGGUCCAGACUCCUACGGGAGGCAGCAGUAGGGAAUCUUCCGCAGUGGGCGAAAGCCUGACGGAGCAACGCCGCGUGAGUGAUGAAGGUCUUCGGUUCGUAAAACUCUGUUAUUAGGGAAGAACAUAUGUGUAAGUAACUGUGCACAUCUUGACGGUACCUAAUCAGAAAGCCCCGGCUAACUACGUG
rnacentral:rRNA from 1 species